AUGUACCUACGGGAGGCAGCAGUGGGGAAUAUUGCACAAUGGGGGAAACCCUGAUGCAGCGACGCCGCGUGAGUGAAGAAGUAUCUCGGUACGUAAAGCUCUAUCAGCAGGGAAGAAAAAAAGUCUUUGGCUUUGGACGGUACCUGACUAAGAAGCCCCGGCUAACUACGUGCCAGCAGCCGCGGUAAUACGUAGGGGGCAAGCGUUAUCCGGAUUUACUGGGUGUAAAGGGAGCGUAGGCGGUACGGCGAGUCAGAAGUGAAAGCCUGGGGCUCAACCCCGGAAUUGCUUUUGAAACUGUCUAA
rnacentral:rRNA from 1 species